GGGCCAUUAGCUCAGUCGGUUAGAGCAGGGGACUCAUAAUCCCUUGGUCCUAGGUUCAAGUCCUAGAUGGCCCA
rfam:Treponema succinifaciens DSM 2489, complete genome.